AGGACGAACGCUGGCGGCGUGCUUAACACAUGCAAGUCGAACGGUAAGGCCCCUUCGGGGUACACGAGUGGCGAACGGGUGAGUAACACGUGAGCAACCUGCCCUUGACUCUGGAAUAACAGCUGGAAACAGCUGCUAAUACCGGAUAUGACUGACGGCGUCAUCGUCGUUGGUGGAAAGCCCUGGCGGUCAAGGAUGGGCUCGCGGCCUAUCAGCUUGUUGGUGAGGUAACGGCUCACCAAGGCUUCGACGGGUA
rnacentral:rRNA from 1 species